ensembl:snRNA U6 U6 spliceosomal RNA
AGAUCAUAAUGAGCCUUGUACUAAAAAAUGGAAUGAUACAGAGAAGAUUAGCAUGGCCCUUGCACAAAGAUGACACACAAAUUCAUUAAUCAUUCCAUAUUUUU